rnacentral:rRNA from 1 species
AUGUUUGCAAGUUAUAGACGCCACGCCUGCCGCUGUCGGGGAGCUCCUGCCUGCGCUGCAAGCCUCAUGACCUUGCAAACUCGCUCGUGCUGCUUAAACUAUAUGGCCUCUCCCUACUCAGGAUGGACUGCUUCGUGCAGAUUCACUCUUCUUUGCCUGAAGGCUCCUGUGUAUCCAGGACCGGCACAAGGAAAAUUCUGGGAUGAAGUAAAAAAAGCGAAAAUGCAAAUAGAUGACAAAUCCCAACUUAUUCCUUUGGCCAUUUCUGUAACCAAAGCUAUUGGCUGGCCAACACAAAGGAGCUGA